AUAGAUGAUGAACAACGGGUCUACUGAGAUCUGCCCGACGGGGCUGAUUGGUGAGGAGCCGUUGGAGCACUGAUA
rnacentral:snoRNA from 1 species